rnacentral:rRNA from 1 species
GACGAACGCUGGCGGCGUGCUUAACACAUGCAAGUCGAGCGGUAAGGCCCUUUCGGGGGUACACGAGCGGCGAACGGGUGAGUAACACGUGGGUGACCUGCCCUCAGCUCUGGGAUAAGCCUGGGAAACCGGGUCUAAUACUGGAUAUGACUCCAUGACGCAUGUUGUGGGGUGGAAAGCCUUGUGCGGCUGAGGAUGGGCCCGCGGCCUAUCAGCUUGUUGGUGGGGUGAGGCCUACCAAGGCGACGACGGGUAGCCGGCCUGAGAGGGCGACCGGCCACACUGGGACUGAGACACGGCCCAGACUCCUACGGGAGGCAGCAGUGGGGAAUCUUGCGCAAUGGGCGAAAGCCUGACGCAGCGACGCCGCGUGAGGGAUGACGGCCUGGUGUAACUACUUC